rnacentral:rRNA from 1 species
GGCGGACGGGUGAGUAAUGCAUAGGAAUCUGCCCGGUAGUGGGGGAUAACCUGAGGAAACUCAGGCUAAUACCGCAUACGUCCUACGGGAGAAAGCAGGGGCUCUUCGGACCUUGCGCUAUCGGAUGAGCUUAUGUCGGAUUAGCUGGUUGGUGAGGUAACGGCUCACCAAGGCGACGAUCCGUAGCUGGUCUGAGAGGAUGAUCAGCCACAUCGGGACUGAGACACGGCCCGAACUCCUACGGGAGGCAGCAGUGGGGAAUAUUGGACAAUGGGGGCAACCCUGAUCCAGCCAUGCCGCGUGUGUGAAGAAGGCCCUCGGGUUGUAAAGCACUUUCAGUGAGGAAGAAGGCUUGUCGGUUAAUACCCGGCAAGAAAGACAUCACUCACAGAAGAAGCACCGGCUAACUCCGUGCCAGCAGCCGCGGUAAUACGGAGGGUGCGAGCGUUAAUCGGAAUUACUGGGCGUAAAGCGUGCGUAGGCGGCUUGAUAAGCCGGUUGUGAAAGCCCCGGGCUCAACCUGGGAACGGCAUCCGGAACUGUCAGGCUAGAGUGCAGGAGAGGAAGGUAGAAUUCCCGGUGUAGCGGUGAAAUGCGUAGAGAUCGGGAGGAAUACCAGUGGCGAAGGCGGCCUUCUGGACUGACACUGACGCUGAGGUACGAAAGCGUGGGUAGCAAACAGGAUUAGAUACCCUGGUAGUCCACGCCGUAAACGAUGUCGACUAGCCGUUGGGGUCCUCGAGACCUUUGUGGCGCAGUUAACGCACUAAGUCGACCGCCUGGGGAGUACGGCCGCAGGGUUAAAACUCAAAUGAAUUGACGGGGGCCCGCACAAGCGGUGGAACCAGGUGGUUUAAUUCGAUGCAACGCGAAGAACCUUACCUACCCUUGACAUCGUGCGAACUUUCCAAAGAUGGAUUGGUGCCUUCGGGAACGCACAGACGGGUGCUGCAUGGCUGUCGUCAGCUCGUGUUGUGAAAUGUUGGGUUAAGUCCCGUAACGAGCGCAACCCUUGUCCCUAUUUGCCAGCGAUUCGGUCGGGAACUCUAGGGAGACUGCCGGUGACAACCCGAAGGAAAGUGGGGAACGACGUCAAGUCUUCAUGGGCCCUUACGGGUAGGGCUACACCCUG